rnacentral:lncRNA from 1 species
CACUUCAUCUUCCAUACUUGAAAUUACCCAUAUCCACUAGCCUAUUUUCGCUUUUUUUAUCUAAAAAUGAUACCAUCUCUAAACCUUCUGCCUCUAAUCUCUCCCACUUCGAUUGCUUCCUUCCCCAUCAUCAGUCCCAAAAAUUGCGCCCCACAUUCCACCACCCCUAUGGCCAAACCUAGACAAAUUUGGCACUAUUCCCAUAAAAAAUACUAGGAUCUGCGAGCUAAGAGAUUAUGUUUUCGUUGCAAGCAACCUUAUUCCCCUUACACGAUUGCCCUUUUGAAACCCUUCGAGCUAUAAUUGCUGCCAAAGAUGAACUCUCUCCCAUUGAUCUUGAUUCCAUACUUCUAAAACUGUGCCCUCUUCCUUCUUUCGUGAAGCUCAAUUCUUAAACCUCGAACUUCCAUUCUAUUCAAUUGGGGGUAUUUCUCAAUCUCGCACAAUUAAAUUAUAAGGUACACUUCUUAACCAACCUAUUUUGUUGUUGGUUGAUAGUGGAGCAAGCCAUUAUUUUAUUUCUCAAUCCCUGAUUUCUAAACUAUCUUUUCUGCUCAAUGCUACUCCCACUUUCACUGUUCAUUUGGGUUACAGUCAUUGUGCUAAUGCAUCUGGAUGUUGUAAAUAGUUGAAUAUUAACUUAGGUGCUCUCACCAUCUACCCUGAUUCUUAUGCCUUUCCUUAUCCCUGGGUGAUGUUAAGAUGAAUUGAAGAAAACUCACCAUGUCCUUUACCCAUGAUGACCAACCUAUUCUGUUAUCUAGCCCACCUGCUCUUCAAGGUAUCCAAGUUUUCUUAAUGUUUUUGUAACGACCCCAAAAUGGACCGUCACCGGCGCUAGGAUUCAGAUCGGCUUAAGGCCGCCAGAACCCGUAGCAAGCUUGCUAUACUCUCUGAGUACCUGUAAAAUCUCAUACAUGGUCAUACAUUUUCUGUGAAAUAAAAACUUUUCUCUGGACCAAGACUUAACCUGUGCAUGCACUAUCUCUGUACUCUGUACCCCUGACUAAAGCUUGCUCUAGAUAGGUUCUGUUAUACCUAUUAAGCCUGGUUUUUCACAUACUCUGUAAAACAGUUAUAUAAACAGACCAUGUAUACAAAAGAUUCACAACACAACAAUAACUAAGUCAAGCACAAUUCUAACUUUAUACACAACUGUUACAUCUCUUUAAUCUUACAUGUCCACAAUAUUCUAUUACAAAACUCUUCUCUCUUCCUGUACUAUGUUGGACUUCCCUUGUACACUGUACACUGAACCUGCAAGACUGGGGUUAAGGGAGUGGGAUGAGCUCUAUAGCCUAGUGAGUAGAACAGUAAAACAAGUCAUUAACACAUGAUCUUAUGGAAUGCAUCAUAUCACAAACAAUUCACAUCAAGGGUAAACCUGUCACCACAUAGUCCCAGUAACUGUUCCGUGCUAGGCCGUAGACUGGGGUCCUGGUCUUCCUGUACUGUAUAUGUAUAUGUGUAUAUAACACCUGUACUUACCAUUUGCCAGGGUGUAGACUGGGCACCUGGUCUUUACUAUACCUGCCAGGCCGUAGAAUGGGGUCCUGGACUUUUCUAUACUUGCCAGGCCGUAGAAUGGGGUCCUGGACUUCCUGUCUAGAACUAUUGGAUCAUUCAACAUUCACCCACAUCAACAAAUAACUAUGCAAUGCAACAUAUUCAUGGAUUCUAGUGCAAACAACCUACUGUAUACUCAUGAUGCAUGAAUGAUGCUAAACGCAUUUCAGUUCUCAAUUAAAAGAAUUAAGUUUAGUUCCACUCACCUCUGGCUAUCUGGACUGACUCUGCAGGCUCUGUAAACGCUGGAGCAGUACUCACUGCUGCUCUCUCUGGUUCCUCUGGUCUGUGCCUACACAGAUGGACUCAAAUGAGGGACCAAACUAGCUUAUGAACAACUCUAUUAAACUCCCCAAGAAUCCCCGUAAACUCACUCAAACAUCCAUGCAAAGCAUGCAAAGGAAGGCUGGACAUAACACUUUCGGCGGCAGGUUCGGCAGCCGAAAGUCCUCUCCAGAGCCGAAACUCAUGCACCUUCGGCGGCCGAAUCUCCACUUUCGGCAGCCGAACCCUUCGGGGGCAAGUUUCGGGGGCUGAAAGGCACUCCAGAGACGAAAGUCUCUAAUCUUCGGGGGCAUCUUCGACGGCCGAAACUCCCCUCCAUAGCCGAAAGUCCAAAGGCUCAGGGGCAAGCUUAGGCAAUCGAAGCCACCUCCUCAGCACAUUCGGCGGCCGAACCAUUCUUCGGCAGCCGAAGCUGGGUUCAUCAGCAAGGCAGAACCUUGCUCUGCCUCACGCCAAACUGCACCAAUCUUCCUCCAACUCAAACACCUCAACUCCUCAACAUGCAUACACCCAAGUAUAUGCUCAAAGGGGUCAGACACUACCUUAAAACCCCAACAACACAAAACAUAUAACACAUAUACAAGCUUUUCACAAAAAAUAUCAAAAAACUCUCUUUUACCCUAAUCAUGCAACUCUCUCCCAAAACCUCAUAAAACCUUCAGAAAUCAUAAAAACAAGUUUAGGAUCUUCACUUACCUCUUGAAACCAAGAAGAUGAACGAUCCUAACUGUAAUACCUGGCUAGAGUUCGGCAUCGGAAUUCUACUUUCUGAUGGAGUUCCGGUUGCCGAAAGUCUUUAGACGGGAUAGCUUUAUGUUUUUCUCACAUGUUUUGGUAUGUUUCAUACUUUUAAAGCAUAAGGAAAUGAGUUUUUGAGUGAAAUGAACCAAGGCAGAAAAGCCAGGUUCGGCCGCCAAAGUUGAGGUUCGGCUGCCGAACAUGCAUGGCUUUCGGUUUCACGUGUGGCCGCCGAAGGUGGUCUGGCCAGCCACCUAUAAAUGGCCCUCAAUCGGUUGAAGCGGUGCAAGCACCGUUUCUUUUGUCUUCUGAGGUGAAACCCUGUCCUUUGUGAGUAUUUCUUCAUGUUUUCAUUGAAUCAUACAAAGAUUUGAUUAGUUUUUAUGGUAUUUUGAAGGUUUUAAGCUAAAAACUCAAAGUUGUGAAGUUUGGAGAGUUUGAAGGAGAGUUGCUCCAAAACUCCACGUUAGGAUCGUUCAUCUUCUUGUUUUCAAUAGGUAAGUGAAGAUCCUGAGCUUGUGUUUAUGUUUUCUGAAGGUUUUAUGGGGUUUAUGGAGAGAGUUGCAUGAAUAGGGUUAUUUGUGAGGUUUUGAUGAUUGUGUGCAUAAAGCUUGUUUCUGUGUUGUUUGUGUUGUGUGUUUGGGGUGUUUAGAUAGUUUUUGACCCCUUUGAGCAUAUACAUGAGUGUAUGCAAGUUGAGGAAGUGCGGUGUGAAGUUGGAGAGGAGUUUCGUGCAUUUGGCGAGAGGCAGGGCAAGUUUCUGCCCUGCUGAUGAACUCAGGUUCGGCCGCCGAAGGUACAUUCGGCCGCCGAACCCAUGAGGAGGUAGCUUCGGCUGCCCAAGCUUGCCCCCGAGCUUUUGGACUUUCAGCUCUGGAGGGAAGUUCGGCCGCCGAAGGUGCUGCCGAAGGUUAGAGACUUUCGUCUCUGGAGUGCCUUUUGGCCUCCGAAACUUGCCCCCGAAAGGGUUCGGCUGCCGAAAGUAGAGAUUCGGCUGCCGAAGGUGCUUGAGUUUCGUCUCUGGAGAGGACUUUCGGCCGCCGAACCUGCCGCCGAAAGUGUCCUGUCCAGCUUUCCUUUGCAUGCUUUGCAUGGAUGUUAGAGUGAGUUUAAGGGGAUUUUUGGGGAGUUUAAUCGAGUUGGUCUUGCGUUAGUUUGGUCCCUCAUUUGAGUCCAUCUGUAUAGGUACAGACCAGAGGAACCAGAGAGAGCAGCAGUGAGUACUGCUCCAGCGUUUACAGAGCCUGCAGAGUCAGUCAGUCUAGUUAGCCAGAGGUGAGUGGAACUAAACUUAACUCUUUUAAUUGAACAAUGGAAUGUUUUAGCAUAUCUCAUGCAUCAUGAUUAUGCAAUAGGUUGAGUGAAUUAGUAUCCACGAAUAUGUUGCAUUGCAUAGUUAUUUGUUGAUGUGGGUGAAUGCUGAAUGAUCCAAUAGUCUCAGACAGGAAGUCCAGGAGCCUUUGACUACGCCCUGGCAGGUAUAGUAAAGACCAGGAGCCUUUGACUACGCCCUAGCAGUUAUAGUAAAGACCAGGAGCCUUUGACUACGCCCUGGCAAUGGUAAGUACAGAGGUGUUAUAUACACAUAUACAUAUAUAACAGGAAGACCAGGUGCUCGAUGCUACGCCCUGGCACAGAGUUACUGGGACUAUGUGGUGACAGGUUUACUCUUGAUGUGGUUUAUCUGUGUUAUGACGCAUUCCAUCAGAUCAUAUGUUAAUGAAUUGUUUUACUGUUCUACUCACUGGGCUAUAGAGCUCAUCCCACUCCCUUAACCCCAGUCUUGCAGGUUCAGUAUACAGUGUACAGGGAAGGUUCAGCAAGUGCAGAGUGCCAAAAGAGUAAAGAGUAAAGAGAAUUGUACUAGUGUAAAGUGGACAUGUAAUAUAAAGAGAUGUAUUAGUUGUGUUUUCAGUUACAAAUGUGCUUGACUUAGUAGUUUGUGUUGUAAAUAUGUUGUUGUGUACAUGAUCUGUAUAUGUAGAUGUUUGAUAGAGUAUGUGAAAAACCAGGCUUAACAGGUAUGAGUUACCCAAGGGGUACAGAGUACAGAGUACAGAGUACAGAUUACAGAGUACAGAGUACAGAGAUAGUGCAUGCACAGGUCAAGCCUUGGUGCAGGAAAAGAGUUUUUAUUUUCACAGAAAAUGUAUGAUCAUGUAUGAGAUUUACAGGUACACAGAGAGUAUAGCAGGCUUGCUACGGGUUCUAGCGGCCUUAAGCCGACCUGAAUCCUAGCGCCGGUGACGGUCCAUUUUGGGGUCGUUACACUAACGUGGAGUUUUGAAGCAACUCUCCUUCAAACUCUCCAAAAUACACAACUUUGUGUUUUUAGCUCAAAACCUUCAAAAGAACAUAAAACUCAAUCAAAUCUUUGCAAGAUGUAAUGAAAACAUAAAGAAACCUUCAGAAGGACAGGGUCUCACCUUAGAAAGUGAAAGAAAACGGCAAUACUUAUCCUUUCAACCGACUGAGGGCCUUUUAUAGGUGGCUGGCCAGACCACCUUCGGCAGCCUAUCGUGAAACCGAAAGCCAUGCAUGUUCGGCGGCCGAACUUUCCCUUCGGCGGUCGAACCUGGCUUUUCCUCCUUGGUGCUUUUCUUUCAAAAACUAUGUUUUAAAACAUUAAAACAUACUAUAUUACUUUAGAAAACCAUCAAUCUUACCCUUCUAGAGAAUUCUGACAUCCUGGAUUCCACCAGACGACAGGAAUUCCGAUGCCGGACUCUAGCCGGGUAUUACAGUUUUCCUUAAAACCACCAGUAUCGAUUUAUAAGCCUUAGUUUGGGAUUUUACCUUCAUUACCUCUUCGGAUGACUCUCAUUCCCAUCUUACUUCCUCUCAACUCUUAGAAUUAAGCAGCCUCCUCUAGUAAUUUCACUCAGUCUUUAUUGAUUCUAACGCCCUACCACCCAAUAGACCACCAGAUCAUUCCAUUCCCUCAUAUCCAAACACUGUCUAAUACUUAGCCCUUUUGAUAUGUUUUUCAUCAAAAGGACAAAUCGUAAAAAUGGUGUUUGACAUGUUGGCUGUAGGAAUCAUCUGCUUUAGUACUAGUCCGUUUUCUAAGAAGCAUGGGAGUUACCACUUUUGCAUCAAUUAUCGAGUAUUGAAUAAAAAUACUAUUCCAAACAAAUAUCUCAUACCAGUCAUUCAAUAACUUCUGAAUGAGCUCCAUGGGGUUGCCUUUUUCUCCAAAAUAGACCUCAAGGCAGGAUAUCAUCAAAUUCAGGUGAAGGAACCAGACACUCAUAAAAUGACUUCUCGUAGUCACUCUAGCCACUAUGAGUUUGUAGUCAUACCAUUCUGCCUCACCAAUGCUCUGGCCACCUUCCAACCUACCAUGAAUGACAUUUUCAGGCCAUAUCUUCGUCGCUUUAUUCUCAUUUUUUUAUGAUAUCCUAGUUUAUAGUAAAAUAUGGACUAGCCAUUUAUUUCAUCUGCAAACUACCUUAUCUAUUUUGUAGCAACAUCAGUUUUCAGGGAAAACAGUUCCAAC